rnacentral:rRNA from 1 species
GACGUAGGGCGCGAGCGUUGUCCGGAUUUAUUGGGCGUAAAGAGCUCGUAGGCGGUCUGUCGCGUCGGCUGUGAAAUCCCGAGGCUCAACCUCGGGUCUGCAGUCGAUACGGGCAAACUAGAGUAUUGCAGGGGAGACUGGAAUUCCUGGUGUAGCGGUGAAAUGCGCAGAUAUCAGGAGGAACACCGGUGGCGAAGGCGGGUCUCUGGGCCGAUACUGACGCUGAGGAGCGAAAGCGUGGGGAGCGAACAGG